rnacentral:rRNA from 1 species
GACGAACGCUGGCGGCGUGCUUAACACAUGCAAGUCGAACGGAAAGGCCCUGCUUUUGUGGGGUGCUCGAGUGGCGAACGGGUGAGUAACACGUGAGUAACCUGCCCUUGACUUUGGGAUAACUUCAGGAAACUGGGGCUAAUACCGGAUAGGAGCUCCUGCUGCAUGGUGGGGGUUGGAAAGUUUCGGCGGUUGGGGAUGGACUCGCGGCUUAUCAGCUUGUUGGUUGGGUAGUGGCUUACCAAGGCUUUGACGGGUAGCCGGCCUGAGAGGGUGACCGGCCACAUUGGGACUGAGAUACGGCCCAGACUCCUACGGGAGGCAGCAGUGGGGAAUAUUGCACAAUGGGCGGAAGCCUGAUGCAGCAACGCAGCGUGCGGGAUGACGGCCUUCGGGUUGUAAACCGCUUUCGCCUGUGACGAAGCGUGAGUGACGGUAAUGGGUAGAGAAGCACCGGCUAACUACGUG